rnacentral:rRNA from 2 species
UUAAAUUGAAGAGUUUGAUCAUGGCUCAGAUUGAACGCUGGCGGCAGGCCUAACACAUGCAAGUCGAACGGUAACAGGAAGCAGCUUGCUGCUUCGCUGACGAGUGGCGGACGGGUGAGUAAUGUCUGGGAAACUGCCUGAUGGAGGGGGAUAACUACUGGAAACGGUAGCUAAUACCGCAUAAUGUCGCAAGACCAAAGAGGGGGACCUUCGGGCCUCUUGCCAUCGGAUGUGCCCAGAUGGGAUUAGCUUGUUGGUGGGGUAACGGCUCACCAAGGCGACGAUCCCUAGCUGG